GGAAGCCGCGCUGAGCCACUCUUCUCCUUCCCGGACUCUUCACCACCCCUUCCUUCUAUCCGAGGCCAACACCCAGGGCUUGACCCUCUUGGGCUUCCUAGCUCUCCAGCCCGGGAGUUAGACUAGUUUUUCAACUCCCCGGGCCGAAAAUCCGGGAAGACAACAAUCCCGCUCCGAGCCCUCCAAGGUAGAGUUAGAAAAGACUUGGAACAGAAUUAAACCGCUUUGGGGGAGAUGAGUCAGCCCGGGCGGGGCUGCAGCUGCCAGUGAAACUCCUGCCAGUGUGAUUGGGCAACAACCAGAAGUAGAGAGCCCGCGGGGUGGUGGUGCCAUCCCUUAAAGGCAGUUUAUGUAAUAAGGCCUGAUCGCACACCCACCAAAGGGGCGGCUGUGGGGUCAGCCUCAAUUUCUUCCACUGUGAAGUGGGAAUAUGAAUACGAAACGAAUUAUGUCUGCUAGGUGCCUGGGCUAUAAAAAGCGGUCAGACAGUAUUCACUGUCGUGCUUAGUGCCGCCGAGCCCUCCACCCUAGGCCACUUUCUCCAUGUGGGACUGUCCCAAAGGCUAGGGUGUGGGGUGCAGUGGGGAGCCCCUGAUCAUCACCACAGGGAGCCCAAAGCGGUGAAGGAACCCGGUGAAGGGUCACAGGCAGGAGGCAAGUCUUUUAUUUCUGCCACUUCCAGAUGUUUAUUGUGCUGGGUGUUCUUGGAGGCACUGAGGAUUCAGCAGUGAACAAAACAGACCUGGUCCCUGAAAGUCUCUGAAGGAGGGUGAAGGUAAAGAUAAACACAGCUGACAUUAGUGGUAAAAACCGAUUUUAUUCAGUAACUACUGACAGUAGAGGAAAGAGCUGAACUUCAUUCUCAUUUCCACAGAGGCGACUAGGAGUUUUGUUUUGUUUUGGUUUUUGAGACUGAGUCUCACUCUGUCCCCCAGGUUGGAGUGCAGUGGCGCAAUCUUGGCUCACUGCAACCUUCCAGGUUCAAGGGAUUCUCUUGCCUCAGUCUCCUAAGUAGCAGGGGUUAGGGGUGUGUGCCACCACGCCCGGCUCAUUUUUGUAUUUUUAGUAGAGAUAGGGUUUCACCAGGUUGGUCAGGUUGGUCUCAAACUCCUGACCUCAGGCCAUCUGCCCACCUCGGCCUCCCAAAGUGCUGGGAUUACAGGCAUGAGUCCCUGCCCCAGGCCCGUGACUAGGAGUUUUAAAGAAAGAAUGAGGGAGUAGGGAGGAGGAUCAAGUGGGGACUCACAUAGAAUCAAGGAAGUGAAAAAUUACAAAAAAGUGGACAAGAGGGUUGGUCAGGGUAAAUACAAUUAAGCCAGCU
rnacentral:lncRNA from 13 species